CAGAGUGACAAAGACGCCCUCAGAGAAGGACGACUCAGACUCCAGCUGUCCAGACUCAGGACUGAGGACUCGGGUCUGUACCUGUGUGAGGUGGACACAGGUUAUGGCUGCGGCUACAACAGCUGCAGACUCACCGUCUCUGAUGCAAACUUUGCUGAAACCUCGACAAUGGAAACGCUGCUGCUUUCCCAAAGCCUCCACACUCCAGAUCCUAAGGACGUGACAUAUGCAGGUCGAUCCAGGGUCCCUGUGGUCGUCGCUGUCAUCACCUUAUUAUCAGUUGUGGCUCUCGCUGGUUUUGCUGCAUUUUUCUCUCGCCACAUUUUUCAGAAGCUAAAAAAGCAUCCAGAGGAUGAGACACAAAAACAACCACUACAAGUCUAGCUGCUUUACUCAAAGUAAUAAUGGUCUUAAUGGAGCUGAGAGUGUUAGAGAUUUAUCUUUGCUGGAUCUUCGCAGUCAGGUCAGGGAUUCAAACCAGCAACCACACUCAGGUCCAGCAAUAAAUUUAAUUUAUUUUUUUGAAUUUAAUGUAAUCUACCCUACCACUUUGUGGACCGGGGAGCUAAAUACCAGAUUCCUCCAAACUUCAAGAAUUUUCUAUGCAUCAUUUUUGGUUGAGUUUUUGUGAUUGUCAUUUUUUUUUAAAUAUGUUUUUAGUUGGUUUAUUUACUGACUGACAACCUGGCUU